GAUGAACGCUGGCGGCGUGCCUAAUACAUGCAAGUCGAGCGAACAGACGAGGAGCUUGCUCCUCUGACGUUAGCGGCGGACGGGUGAGUAACACGUGGAUAACCUACCUAUAAGACUGGGAUAACUUCGGGAAACCGGAGCUAAUACCGGAUAAUAUAUUGAACCGCAUGGUUCAAUAGUGAAAGACGGUUUUGCUGUCCCUUAUAGAUGGAUCGGCUCCGCAUUAGCUAGUGGGUAAGGUAACGGCUUACAAGGGCAACGAUUCGUAGCCGACAUGGGAGGGUUAUCGGCCCCACUUGAACUGAGACACGGUCCAGACUCCUACGGGAGGCAGCCGUAGGGACUCCUCCGCAAUGGGCGAAAGACUGACGGAGCAACGCCGCGUGAGUGAUGCAGGUCUUCGGAUCGUAAAACUCUGUUAUUAGGGAAGAACAAAUGUGUAAGUAACUAUGCACGUCUUGACGGUACCUAAUCAGAAAGCCACGGCUAACUACGUG
rnacentral:rRNA from 1 species